rnacentral:ncRNA from 1 species
UUGACAGUCCAACCGCUACCUGCCUCGGUGAGAUACACCGAGUGGCUUCCUUGGAAGAGGGGAGGCGAGAUGCCAAGCGCACUCUUGAUGACGUAGCACGGAGGACAU